UUUUGGGGAAUAUUGAGUAGUAAAAAUUGGGAAUUUUGGGGAAUACCAGUUGGGAUUUUGGGGGAUUUUUUAAAAUUUUUUGGGGGAUUUUUUGGGAAUUCCUGAUCCCAGUCUCUCCCUUUCCCCUCCCAGUGCCACCAGUGCCCCCAGUCCCAUCCCAAGGGAAUAAAACCUGGGAAUUUUGGGAAUUUAUGGGAAUUCCGUAUCCCAACCUCUCCCUUCCCCUCCCAGUGCCACCAGUACCCCCAGUCCCAUCCCAAGGGAAUAGAAACUGGGAAUUUAUGGGAAUUUUUUGGAAUAAAAACUGGGAAUUUUGGGAAUUUCUGUGAUUUUUUUUUCCCAGUUUCACCAGUACUCCCAGUCCCAUCCCAAGGGAAUAAAAACUGUAAAUUUUGGGGAAUUUUUUGGAACAAAACCUGGGAAUUUUGGGAAUUUCUGUGAAUUUUUUCCCAGUGCCACCAGUACCCGCAGCUGCCCCGCAAGGGGCCCCCCCACGGCAAGGGGGACCCCAAGGGCUCCUUUGGGGGUCCCUACGAGGAGCUGGAGCCCGAGGGGCUGCAGGAGGACGAGGACGAGGGAGCCAAGGACGACUUUGGGGAUUUCUCCAAGGAGCUGAGCCAGUACCGGCGCGCCAAGGACGGCGGGCACCGGCCCAGAGGUCGCGGCCGCGGCUGCCGCGGGUUCCGGGGGCGGGGGCGGGGCCCGGGGCGGGGCCGGGGGCGGGGCCCGGGGCGGGGCCGCGCCCGCAGCGACCCCGAGGAUGAGGAGGAGCCCUUCGAGGAGGAGAUGGAGGUGAGCGGGGAGGGCCCGGGAAUUCGGGAAUUCGGGAAUUCUGGGGUUUGGGAAUUCGGGAAUUUCCCGGGAUGUUCUUGAGGGAAUUCUGAGCCUGUCCUGGUGGAAUUCUGGGCUUGUCCUG
rnacentral:lncRNA from 1 species